rnacentral:rRNA from 1 species
UUAACAACGCUAGAAGACUACGAGCAACAGUUUAAAACUCAAAGAACUUGGCGGUUUUUCAAAACUACCUGGAGGAGCUUGCUAUUUAAACCGAUAACCCACGUAAAACCUCACCAACCCUAGCAAAAACAGCCUGUAUACCAUCGUCGUCAGUCUACCUCGCAAGAGAAAAGUACACAUAAAGAGUACAUCGCCCCCGUGACUUCUACCCCCGACGUCAGAUCAAGGUGCAGCUCAUGGGUUGGGAAUAAGUGAGCUACAAUAACAAUAACAAUCACCAAAAAAGAUAUAAAUCAGUAAUGAAAAAACAGAAAAAAAAGGAUUCAACAGUAAUACUUAAAAGAAAAUAAGUAUGAAACCAUAG